rnacentral:rRNA from 1 species
GACGAACGCUGGCGGCGUGCCUAAUACAUGCAAGUAGAACGCUGAAGGAGGAGCUUGCUUCUCUGGAUGAGUUGCGAACGGGUGAGUAACGCGUAGGUAACCUGCCUGGUAGCGGGGGAUAACUAUUGGAAACGAUAGCUAAUACCGCAUAAGAGUAGAUGUUGCAUGACAUUUGCUUAAAAGGUGCAACUGCAUCACUACCAGAUGGACCUGCGUUGUAUUAGCUAGUUGGUGGGGUAACGGCUCACCAAGGCGACGAUACAUAGCCGACCUGAGAGGGUGAUCGGCCACACUGGGACUGAGACACGGCCCAGACUCCUACGGGAGGCAGCAGUAGGGAAUCUUCGGCAAUGGACGGAAGUCUGACCGAGCAACGCCGCGUGAGUGAAGAAGGUUUUCGGAUCGUAAAGCUCUGUUGUAAGAGAAGAACGAGUGUGAGAGUGGAAAGUUCACACUGUGACGGUAUCUUACCAGAAAGGGACGGCUAACUACGUGCCAGCAGCCGCGGUAAUACGUAGGUGGCAAGCGUUAUCCGGAUUUAUUGGGCGUAAAGAGAGUGCAGGCGGUUUUCUAAGUCUGAUGUGAAAGCCUUCGGCUUAACCGGAGAAGUGCAUCGGAAACUGGAUAACUUGAGUGCAGAAGAGGGUAGUGGAACUCCAUGUGUAGCGGUGGAAUGCGUAGAUAUAUGGAAGAACACCAGUGGCGAAGGCGGCUACCUGGUCUGCAACUGACGCUGAGACUCGAAAGCAUGGGUAGCGAACAGG